UGGGGAAUAUUGCACAAUGGGCGCAAGCCUGAUGCAGCCAUGCCGCGUGUGUGAAGAAGGCCUUCGGGGUGUAAAGCACUUUCAGCGGGGAGGAAGGCGUUAAGGUUAAUAACCUUGGCGAUUGACGUUACCCGCAGAAGAAGCACCGGCUAACUCCGUGCCAGCAGCCGCGGUAAUACGGAGGGUGCAAGCGUUAAUCGGAAUUACUGGGCGUAAAGCGCACGCAGGCGGUCUGUCAAGUCGGAUGUGAAAUCCCCGGGCUCAACCUGGGAACUGCAUUCGAAACUGGCAGGCUAGAGUCUUGUAGAGGGGGGUAGAAUUCCAGGUGUAGCGGUGAAAUGCGUAGAGAUCUGGAGGAAUACCGGUGGCGAAGGCGGCCCCCUGGACAAAGACUGACGCUCAGGUGCGAAAGCGUGGGGAGCAAACAGG
rnacentral:rRNA from 1 species